ACGUUAGCGGCGGACGGGUGAGUAACACGUGGGUAACCUACCUAUAAGACUGGGAUAACUUCGGGAAACCGGAGCUAAUACCGGAUAAUAUUUCGAAUCGCAUGGUUCGAUAGUGAAAGAUGGUUUUGCUAUCACUUAUAGAUGGACCCGCGCCGUAUUAGCUAGUUGGUAAGGUAACGGCUUACCAAGGCGACGAUACGUAGCCGACCUGAGAGGGUGAUCGGCCACACUGGAACUGAGACACGGUCCAGACUCCUACGGGAGGCAGCAGAC
rnacentral:rRNA from 1 species